GUCCUGGACACCUCGUGGCCCACGCCCCCACCUGCCCUGCGUGAGGCCUCAGAGCUUCUGCGGGAGUUGUGCAUAAAGAACAUGGUGUGGAAAUACUGCCGGAGUAUCAGCCCUGAGUGGAAGCAGCAGCUGCAGCAGAAGGCCGUGGCUAGUGAGAUCUUCAAGGGCAAGAAGGAUAAUUACCCUCAGAGUGUACCCAGGCUCUUCAUCAGCACUCGGCUUGGUGAGCCCCUGACUUUCCAGCACUCAGACCUUUUGUCACCAUCCUGGUCCCCCAUUGCCUCCACUGACUUCCCUCCCCGCCAUCUGAGUUGCAGGUACAGAUGAGAUCAGCCCCCGAGUGCUGCAGGCCUUGGGCUCUGAGCCCAUUCAGGUAAGAGCCUGCCUGCAGCCCUGAGUCCAG
rnacentral:sRNA from 1 species